UAACCACUCAAGCUCUCGCUUGGUAUUGGGGUUCGCGGUCUCGCGGCCCCUAAAAUCAGUGGCGGUGCCUGUCGGCUCUACGCGUAGUAAUACUCCUCGCGAUUGAGUCCGGUAGGUUUACUUGCCAGCAACCCCUAAUUUUUCAUCA
rnacentral:misc_RNA from 1 species